GACAGAGGAGCCAAGCGUUGUCCGGAAUCAUUGGGCGUAAAGAGCGUGUAGGCGGUCCGGUAAGUCCGCUGUGAAAGUCGGGGGCUCAACCCUCGAAUGCCGGUGGAUACUGUCGGGCUAGAGUGCGGAAGAGGCGAGUGGAAUUCCUGGUGUAGCGGUGAAAUGCGCAGAUAUCAGGAAGAACACCUAUGGCGAAGGCAGCACUCUGGGACGGUACUGACGCUGAGACGCGAAAGCGUGGGGAGCGAACAGG
rnacentral:rRNA from 1 species